rnacentral:rRNA from 1 species
GAUGAACGCUAGCGGGAGGCUUAAUACAUGCAAGUCGAACGGUAACAGCGAAGUUUACUUUGGCUGACGAGUGGCGAACGGGUGAGUAACGCGUACAUAACCUACCUCAAACAAGAGAAUAGCCUCGGGAAACUGAGAAUAAUACUCUAUAGUAUAUAUUAACCGCAUGGUAUGAUAUAUUAAAGUUUCGGCGGUUUGAGAUGGAUGUGCGUUAGAUUAGCUAGUUGGUAAGGUAACGGCUUACCAAGGCGACGAUCUAUAGGGGGCGUGAGAGCGUGAUCCCCCACACGGGUACUGAGACACGGACCCGACUCCUACGGGAGGCAGCAGUAAGGAAUAUUGGACAAUGGAGGAAACUCUGAUCCAGCCAUCCCGCGUGCAGGAUGACGGCCCUCUGGGUUGUAAACUGCUUUUGUAUGGGAAGAAUCGCUUUUAUUUAUAAGAGUUUGACGGUACCAUAAGAAUAAGCAUCGGCUAACUCCG